CAGUUAUCGUUUAUUUGAUAGUACCUACUUACUUGGAUAACCGUGGUAAUUCUAGAGCUAAUACAUGCUAAAAACCCCGACUUCCGAAGGGGUGUAUUUAUUAGAUAAAAAACCGAUGCCCUUCGGGGCUCCUUGGUGAUUCAUAAUAACUUCACGAAUCGCAUGGCCUUGCGCCGGCGAUGGUUCAUUCAAAUUUCUGCCCUAUCAACUUUCGAUUGUAAGAUAGUGGCUUACAAUGGUGGCAACGGGUAACGGGGAAUUAGGGUUCUAUUCCGGAGAGGGAGCCUGAGAAACGGCUACCACAUCCAAGGAAGGCAGCAGGCGCGCAAAUUACCCAAUCCCAACACGGGGAGGUAGUGACAAUAAAUACUGAUGCGGAGCUCUUUAGGGUUUCGCAAUUGGAAUGAGUACAAUUUAAAUCCCUUAACGAGGAACAAUUGGAGGGCAAGUCUGGUGCCAGCAGCCGCGGUAAUUCCAGCUCCAAUAGCGUAUAUUAAAGUUGUUGCAGUUAAAAAGCUCGUAGUUGAACCUUGGGUUUGGCUGACCGGUCCGCCUCACCGCGUGCACUGGCUCGGCCGAACCUUUCCUUCUGGGAAGCCACAUGCCCUUAACUGGGUGUGUUGGGGAACCAGGACUUUUACUUUGAAAAAAUUAGAGUGUUCAAAGCAGGCCUAUGCUCGAAUACAUUAGCAUGGAAUAAUAGAAUAGGACGUGUGGUUCUAUUUUGUUGGUUUCUAGGACCGCCGUAU
rnacentral:rRNA from 1 species